GUCCUCGUAGCUUAAAUAAAGCAUGGCACUGAAGAUGCCAAGAUGGCUGUUCUACGCACCCGAGGACA
rnacentral:tRNA from 1 species